rnacentral:rRNA from 1 species
GACGAACGCUGGCGGCGUGCCUAAUACAUGCAAGUUGAGCGAUGAAGCUUUGUGCUUGCACCAAUUUGAAGAGCAGCGAACGGGUGAGUAACGCGUGGGGAAUCUGCCUUUUAGCGGUGGACAACAUUUGGAAACGAAUGCUAAUACCGCAUAACACCUUUAAACAUAAUUUUUACGUUUGUAAGAUGCCAUUCCAUCACUCACAGAUAAUCCCGCGUUGUAUUAGCUAGUUGGUGAGUUAAAGGCUCACCAAGGCGAUGAUACAUAGCCGCCCUGAGAGGGUGAUCGGCCACAUUGGGAAGGAGAGAGGGCGCAAACUACUACGGGAGGCAGCAGUAGGGAAGCUUCGGCAAUGGACGAAAGUCUGACCGAGCAACGACGCGUGAGUGAUGAAGGUUUUCGGAGCGUAAAACUCUGUUGGUAGAGAAGAACGGUGGUGAGAGUGGAAAGCGCAUCAAGUGACGGUAACUACACAGAAAGGGACGGCUAACUACGU